rnacentral:lncRNA from 1 species
CCUCUCACUGUCAUUUAGGCACAUUUCCCGCAAUUCUGACAUCCUGAGUUUGCUAGAAGGAUGAGAAUCCGUAUAGGAGGACAUCUCAAACUCUAGUUUCCACCACCGAGGUAACCUCCCUGUUUGGAUACCCCACGUUCACAUUCUAGGCAUCAAGUUCUAGGAUAGCUGUAAUAUUACUUAGCAACUAUAUGCAGCAAUAACACAACUGACUACAAAACAAUCUGAUGAAAAACCUGAUCACUAAUUAGUCAAUGAACAAGAACAUUCCUCUAAUGGUGAUGCCCUGAAGCUCACUG